rnacentral:rRNA from 1 species
UACAGAGGUCUCAAGCGUUUGUUCGGGAUUCAUUGGGCGUAAAGGGUGUGUAGGUGGCGCCGUAAGUCGGGUGUGAAAUUUCGGAGCUUAACUCCGAAACUGCAUUCGAUACUGCGGUGCUUGAGGACUGGAGAGGAGAGUGGAAAUUCCCGGUGUAGCGGUGAAAUGCGCAGAUAUCGGGAAGAACACCCGGUGGCGAAGGCGGCUCUCUGGGACGAUACGUGAACGCGUGAGACGGCGAAAAGCGUGGGGAGCCGAACAGG